AUAGAAUACUGAAAUGUGUUUAACUAAACAUCAAGCAUUCAUUUGUGCACUUCCUCAUCUAAAAUAAUCAUAUCAGUUCUAUUAUCCUUUAUCUCACAUUCUCACAAGUGCACUGUGCCAGUCAGUGGUCCUGCUAUCUGAACUUCAUUGCUCUUAUUUUGGUUCAUUUCUUUGCAACAUUUUAUUCCUAUUGUAGCCUUCAAUCAGUUUUAGCCUUUUGAAUCAUUCUGUAUGUUUAGCCUUUAAUCAGUUUGCAUUUCCCCCUUAUUUUGAUACAUUGCUCUACAACAGUUUAUUCUUAUUGUGUUACAGGUACUUCAAUUGUAAGUGCAUGCUUACGGAGUUCUAUCAUGCACAAUCAUGUGUGCACACCGGUCUAUCCAGAAGAUUAGCUCGCGACCCUCUCCGCCGGCUCCCCGGGGGUCGCAUCCGGCUUGCCGCAAGUACACCUACGCCGCCGCCUCCCCGGGGGCCGCAAGAUGAAGUGGACGACCGGGGAGAAGGCAUGUGGCGGGGGGCAGGCUCUCAAGUGGGAGACAGAGCUCGCCUCCCCCAACGACGACAACUUCGACCUCAAGUGGAAGUGGGAGGCCAAGUCCAAGCCUGGCGCCGUUGGCAAGGCCAAAACCAAGUGGGGCACCGAGGAAGCCAACAAGGAUGACAAGAAGAAGCCGGCGAGGAAGUGUGUCCAGAGCAAGGAGAUCCCCGUUGGCUGGACGUCCAGAUCGAGACUUCAUUUGAUAGACGCAAUAAUAGGAACUGGCUUCUAUGGUGUACGAGACAAGCUCAAGCACUACAAGGACACAAUGGGCAUUGUCUAAUGAGUUGUGGAAAUAGGGCAUACCAUUAAGUAUUAGAACCAUCAGAAGGUAAUGAUGGGGCAAAACUUCUCUAGGAAAGGACUUGCCAUCCCCUUCCAAUACAACUCGGCGUCACCGGGUAAGACGCUGAUACAUUACAAGGCAGAUCUCAGCUGAACUCUCCCUCCCCGCCCUGGAGUCCAAGCGUUUGUGGCCUACAUCCGUGAGCUCCAUGUCUCCGUCCCUCCACCGAGCAGCGGCACACACACAAGGGGAUCAAGCCCAACCAAAUGGACGAUGCUCCUUCCUGCCACACCCCUGUGUCCCGUUCAGGUUGCAUGUAUGAAUAUCCAAGUGGGAUGCUUGAUCUAUUUACUGAAACAAGACGUGUUUAUAUAUGUCAAAAUGUCUGUUGGAGAGGCACGAAAGCGCAAAGGUCGUGAUGUGUAAGGAUUUAAUCAAGGAGACAACCCGGUAGAGCUAUCAAGUGUUAGGGUAUAGCCUAACUAAGUAGGUUUAUUAUCUCCCAUUGCAUCUCUCUUGAUCAAGACAUGCCAUGACCUGGUUUAUUGUAUUUGUUAUGUUAUAAUGGAUUGUCUUGGCUUGCUUUUGGACUAAA